rnacentral:lncRNA from 1 species
AUAAAUUAUUACACUAAGCACAACCCGUAAAAAAUAUUGCAAGUAAAUCUAGAACUUUCCAUACUUUUUAACCGAACAUUUUUCUGAAAAUCAUUGUUCGAAGAUUGUUUUGACCAAAUAAUGGUCAUCAAACAUAGGCUGAAUUACUCAUUUUUAAUAUUUACAUUUUGAUAUGCAGAAAACUCUUUCAUCUUCCAAACAAUCCAGAAAUCUCCAUUCUUAAUACAUCAUCUCUUUCUUUUCCAAGCAACCAAACCUCCGAUUAGCAGACCACCGUUACCUAGCUUCAUCACUUGCACUCUCCACUGGAAACUCGUUGGUGAGUACACAUGAAGUGGUAAGUAUUGAAAGUAUGAUACAUGUUGCUAGAAUUGAGUUUCCAUGAUGGUUAACAGACACAAAAGGUGCAAAUGGCAUGUCAUACUUAUUUUUCAAUUGGAUCAUGUCAAAUGUAAUAUUAUCUAAUUUUUCAUAAGAUGCCCUACUCCUUGCAUCAUCCCAAAAUAAGCUCCAAAUUCGAGCAUUAUCAUCUUCAUGCAUUGUAUAAAAGAAACUUGAAUCUUUAUUCGUAUCCGAACAAAAUAAUCAUGAAUUACUUCAGCAUUUCCAAUGCCAAAUCUUAAUCCCCUUUCCUCGUCAACAUAACUUCUACAAUAUCUUUUCCCCUGAAAUGGGACAUUAUCAUGACCCUAAGCUUUCCAGUAUUAAUGAUUAAUAAUUCUUUGCCACACCAAUCUCUGCUCGAUCAUUCAAUUCAAUUUUUCAUUGAGCACCAAUACAAAUUUCCCUAUUACAUAAGUAAAACUUGAUUUUUAUGCACUCGGAAUUAAUCUUACAUUUUCCAUCUCUAAAUACAGAAUCAUUAACUCUAGUUUUACACCCUCAUUUUAUCAAUGGAUUAGAAUUCAGGUAAUUUUUUUUUUCAAGACCUUGAAUUUCUAUCUUGUAAACAUGAGAAGCAGACAAAUAAUGGAUUUUGGCUAGCAUAACUGUGGGUAUUAGAUGGCUAGGAGAAAUCAACCGAAAAGAGGAGGAGAAGAUGUGGUUAGAGAAUUUGAAGGCCUGUGUCAGAGAUGCAGUUUUAUGUUCUGGCACAAAUUCAAGAGUGCCUAUGGAUGAGGAGUUCGUUAAUCAAUUGAAGAGAAACCAUGAGGAUGAAGAAGAG